UAGUCCACGCCGUAAACGAUGAGUGCUAGAUAUCGGGAAUUAAAUUUUCGGUUUCGCAGCUAACGCAUUAAGCACUCCGCCUGGGGACUACGAUCGCAAGAUUAAAACUCAAAGGAAUUGACGGGGACCCGCACAAGCAGUGGAGCAUGUGGUUUAAUUCGAAGCAACGCGCAGAACCUUACCAGGCCUUGACAUCCUGAUCGUGAUUUUCAGAGACGAAUUUCUUCAGUUCGGCUGGAUCAGUGACAGGUGCUGCAUGGCUGUCGUCAGCUCGUGUCGUGAGAUGUUGGGUUAAGUCCCGCAACGAGCGCAACCCUCAUUCUUAUUUGCCAGCGAGUAAUGUCGGGAACUAUAAGAAAACUGCCGGUGAUAAGCCGGAGGAAGGCGAGGAUGACGUCAAGUCCUUAUGGCCCUUAUGGCCUGGGCUACACACGUGCUACAAUGGGAAUUACGAAGAGUUGCUAACCUGCGAAGGUAUGCUAAUCUCUAAAAAUUUUCUCU
rnacentral:rRNA from 1 species